rnacentral:rRNA from 1 species
ACGGGUGCGUAACGCGUGGGAAUCUGCCCUUGGGUUCGGAAUAACAGUUAGAAAUAACUGCUAAUACCGGAUGAUGUCUUCGGACCAAAGAUUUAUCGCCCAAGGAUGAGCCCGCGUAAGAUUAGCUAGUUGGUGGGGUAAUGGCCCACCAAGGCGACGAUCUUUAGCUGGUCUGAGAGGAUGAUCAGCCACACUGGGACUGAGACACGGCCCAGACUCCUACGGGAGGCAGCAGUGGGGAAUAUUGGACAAUGGGCGAAAGCCUGAUCCAGCAAUGCCGCGUGAGUGAUGAAGGCCUUAGGGUUGUAAAGCUCUUUUACCAGGGAUGAUAAUGACAGUACCUGGAGAAUAAGCUCCGGCUAACUCCGUGCCAGCAGCCGCGGUAAUACGGAGGGAGCUAGCGUUGUUCGGAAUUACUGGGCGUAAAGCGUACGUAGGCGGUUACUCAAGUCAGAGGUGAAAGCCCGGGGCUCAACCCCGGAACUGCCUUUGAAACUAGGUAGCUAGAGUCUUGGAGAGGUUAGUGGAAUUCCGAGUGUAGAGGUGAAAUUCGUAGA